AUGGGGACAAUAAGUCCAAAUGUGAUGGCUCCUUCCCUCCACGUCGAAGACCUUAUGGCCGAGCUUGUCUCAUGGUGGUCGUCGAGCUCAUCUGGAUUGCGGCUGUAUGUGUGCAAUUUGAAAAUUGGCUAUAAGUUGGCUUCCAUGGACAUGCAUUUCUCAACGUAUGAUAUCCUCCCGACUCUGACUGAACUAUGUUUGAUGCAAAUUCAGACAUGCUCUGCAUUUUUUGAUAGCAAUGCGGGCUGCAGAGAUCGUCUGCGUAGCUCUGCGGGCGUUGAUGUUAAUCCUGUCGAAGUAGCCGUCACAAACUCCAAGAAUUGUUUUGACUUUGCGCUCAUGAAAUGCUUUUUGUCUAUUUUUUUUUUAUUGAUCCGAAGACAGGGAUCAACUGAACUAUUUUUCAGUUUGCAUCCUCUGCUUUUUCACAGUUCUUUCAGGAUUUGCUUAUUCACAAAUGUCUGUGCUGUUUCUGCAGGCAUUAUUAUGUCACCUUCAGCAUUGGGGAUCCGGCCAAGCCUUACUUCCUGGGUAGCCCAAGUUUGGUUGACUGUUGGUUGUGCAGUCCUUUAUUCUGUAACUGUACCUUGA
rnacentral:rRNA from 1 species